rnacentral:rRNA from 1 species
UACGUAGGGGGCAAGCGUUGUCCGGAAUCAUUGGGCGUAAAGCGCGUGUAGGCGGUUCGAUAAGUCUGCUGUGAAAGUCCAGGGCUCAACCCUGGGAUGCCGGUGGAUACUGUCGGACUAGAGUACGGAAGAGGCGAGUGGAAUUCCCGGUGUAGCGGUGAAAUGCGCAGAUAUCGGGAGGAACACCAAUUGCGAAGGCAGCUCGCUGGGACGUCACUGACGCUGAGGUGCGAAAGCGUGGGGAGCAAACAGG